CCAGACUCCUACGGGAGGCAGCAGUGGGGAAUAUUGCACAAUGGGGGAAACCCUGAUGCAGCGACGCCGCGUGGGUGAAGGAGCGUUUCGGCGCGUAAAGCCCUAUCGGCAGGGAAGAAGGAGGACGGUACCUGACUAAGAAGCCCCGGCUAACUACGUGCCAGCAGCCGCGGUAAUACGUAGGGGGCAAGCGUUAUCCGGAUUUACUGGGUGUAAAGGGAGCGUAGACGGCAGUGCAAGUCUGGAGUGAAAGGCGGGGGCUCAACCCCCGGACUGCUCUGGGAACUGUCAGGCUGGAGUGCCGGAGGGGUAAGCGGAAUUCCUGGUGUAGCGGUGAAAUGCGUAGAUAUCAGGAGGAACACCGGCGGCGAAGGCGGCUUACUGGACGGCAACUGACGUUGAGGCCCGAAAGCGUGGGGAGCGAACAGGAUUAGAUACCCGUGUA
rnacentral:rRNA from 1 species